GUGCUCACUUUGGCAGCACAUAUACAAAAAUUGGAAGGAUACAGAGAAGAUUAACAUGGCCCCUGCACAAGGAUGACAUGCAAAUUCAUGAAGGGUUCCUUAUUUUU
rnacentral:snRNA from 2 species